rnacentral:lncRNA from 1 species
GCUCAUCUUGUUGUCGAGUAUCCAGAUUCUGUUUCGUUUCUUUACAGUCAUUUUUGUGUAUUUUUUGUUGUUAGAUUGCUGUAUAGUUGACUCUCUUUUCAUUCUCAUAUUUUAUCCAAUUCUGGAACAUGUCUAUUAUAUAAAAACAAUUUUCAUUUUUUUCUCGGCAAAUUAACCUAUCAAAACGAUUGUCACUCUCUCCAUCGGCUCAAAGAGGAAUAACUCUAAUAAACGUUUCCAGUUCGCGGAAACCGCGACGUCAUAAACCUCUGACGGCAUAGUACUGUUGCGCUUG